CUGCAAUUGGCAAUGAAUUCAAUGCAAAUGAAGAUGUCACCACAAGAACAGUACAACAACUGCAGGUUCUAUGGAAGAACAUUAAACUGGGAUUAAAAAAAGAGAAUGCAGCAAGCAGAAGAGAGCGAUUUAUUACAGGUGGUGGACCACCAAUAAAGGACACAUGUGAUGAAUUGGUUGACUUGCUGUCUGGUAUAAUAGAGCACCAGCAACCUCUGGAUGGUAUACCAGACAAUGACCAUUUGGACAGUGAACAUGGAGAACUGAGCACAAAUGAGGAAACCAAUCAAGAGCCAGUUCACAACGAGCCUGAACCCUCCACAUCUGCUAUAGCACCCCUG